rnacentral:hammerhead_ribozyme from 1 species
AAGCGAAACGCGGGGCGUUACAAGCCCCGCGUCAUGCAAGCGCGGCGGCCUGCAUCUGACGAGUAGCCGAGA